GACCCCUUAGCUCAGCGGCAGAGCAUCUGAUUCCAGCGUACCCGAUGGUCUACCACUGAGUCAGCCUCCAGAAGGUCGUCCGUUCAAUCCGGGCAGGGGUCA